GAUGAACGCUGGCGGCGUGCCUAAUACAUGCAAGUCGAGCGAACAGACGAGGAGCUUGCUCCUCUGACGUUAGCGGCGGACGUGUUAGUAACACGUGGAUAACCUACCUAUAAGACUGGGAUAACUUCGGGAAACCGGAGCUAAUACCGGAUAAUAUAUUGAACCGCAUGGUUCAAUAGUGAAAGACGGUUUUGCUGUCACUUAUAGAUGGAUCCGCGCCGCAUUAGCUAGUUGGUAAGGUAACGGCUUACCAAGGCAACGAUGCGUAGCCGACCUGAGAGGGUGAUCGGCCACACUGGAACUGAGACACGGUCCAGACUCCUACGGGAGGCAGCAGUAGGGAAUCUUCCGCAAUGGGCGAAAGCCUGACGGAGCAACGCCGCGUGAGUGAUGAAGGUCUUCGGAUCGUAAAACUCUGUUAUUAGGGAAGAACAAAUGUGUAAGUAACUAUGCACGUCUUGACGGUACCUAAUCAGAAAGCCACGGCUAACUACGUG
rnacentral:rRNA from 1 species